GUUCAAAAGGUGUGGUGGAGA
rnacentral:siRNA from 1 species